rnacentral:misc_RNA from 1 species
GAAUUACUCUAUAAAUGUUGGCAAACCAAACCUUUAGUGAUAGAGAGCCUAAUUUAACUUAUAGCCUUGCUAGUUUGAUGUUCCACUAUCCUAAUCUAGAAUUUUCAAUAGUUAGCUCAAGUAUAUUGGUGAUUUCGAGCAAUUUUGGGUUUUAGUUUCAAAAAGUAGAUAUGUAUGAGUUUUCACUUGGUCAAAACCCCAUAAUGAGCUUAAUUUAUCAUUUUUCUUAAUGACCCCUCACUUGACAAAGAUGAAGGUAAAAGGAAGAAAAGAAAGAAAGCAAGCCACGUUUUCUAAGCAACUUCAAAGAAUGUUUAUCGGAUAAUAAAUUGACUUUAAUCUCUUUGAGUCACUCUUCUUCCUUACAUGGUGGCGAUGAUGUU